UUAUGCUAUAAAAUGCAAAAUAUUAACUCAACAAAGCCGUAACGUUUUUUUUGUCAAAAAAAUUCCUCCCCUCCUUUUCAACACCACCUUGAGAUGGACUAAGCGAAUAGAUUUGUGGCUUAUAUUUCCAGAUAAUAAAAAAUUACCGAGUUUAAAACCUUGAUUAUGGAAAAAGCUGGAUGGAAAAGAUGGAUUUUCAUAAAUAUCAUUGCGUGUAUAUGAAACGUAAUGUUAGAUAAGAAAAUUCUUCUUUUAUGUCAAAAGUCAAGAGUCUAGAUGCACUGUGAGAAAACUUGUUUGGUGGUCGUGCCGUCAUAUUAUGCCUCAACCCAUCUAAUAGGUAUAAAAAGAUACGCCCUUAUUAAACGUUGACUGGUAUUCUCUCGUUUUAUCCACAAU